ACUCCUCCCUCUUUCCCUCCUCCCGGGAGGCGGGGAGCCUGCCCGCCGCCCCCCACCCGGAGAGGACCGGCUAACUUCUCCGGGUCGAAAGGCCCAAGUCCCUGGGGACCGGGCCGAGCGGCUGGGACUUGGAACCCAUGUCCGAGUCCUCGGCCUUCUGCACGCCGCCACCUGACCCGCUCCCCGCGGGCCAAAGCCGGACCGAGCCCUCAGGUCUCCAUACCUACCCCCCCCAACCCAUCCCCCCCACCCCACUCUACCCCACCCCGCCGCUGCCGCCCCGCAGCCAGGAGGACGCUCCUCACCGCCCAGCUCCUGGGCUAGGAAUGGAAAGCGCUGGCAUUAAUCUCAUUGUUUGCUGCAGACAGCCUAGGGACUUGUGACUACGAGCCGGCCCUAGAGAGCCUCACCUGGCCUCCUCAGACCUGCUUUCCACCAAACGGUGCUCACCUGUUUGGAAACCUGGCAGGCAUUCUCAGCCCACACACACACCCCCCACCCCCACCCCCAAGCUGGUUCUGCUACAAGUCUAAUCAAACCCUAAACCGGGAGGUUCUGGACCCCCCACCCCCAACUGCCGCGCGGGCGGGGCAGGGGGGCGAGCUGGCAGAUUCAGGGUUGACCUUGGAAACCUUCUGGCCCAAACUCACCUUCUGGCCCCAAAUCUCCUUCUGCACGAAGGGAAACUGAGGCCCAGAGAAGGAAAGUCACUUGGCAUGCGGCUGGGGGUGCCCCCAGAUCCAGAGAUGACUCCCAGGUCACAUGGAAUAAAGGUAGCCAAGGACCACCGAGUUCCCCUCUGCCCUUAAGCCUGUUGACAGAAACUCAGACCUCUCUAGGACCCCGUCUCCACGUAGCCACCUGAAAACUGGAAAUGGGCUGGUGGAAGAGGUUACUGUCCUACCUUAGCUAACGGCUACUCUUUAUUGAACUCUUCUCAUCUCUACAGCCUCCAUAAAAAUAUAAUUUACCACCUGUUGAGCACCUGCUAUGUGUUAUUUAGACUUUGUGGCAACUCCGUGAGCAGCUGUGUUAUGGCAGUACCAGGAGGAGGAGGAGGAGGAGGAGGCCCGUCACUGGACUUGGGAAGCUGCUGUAAAGACUGAUGAUUGAGAGGAAGGAGUGCUGGACUGGAAUCAAGAGUCAGGGGUCCAAUCUCUUUCAGUCUCUGUCCUGUGUCUUUUAUCUACACUCUAAGCAGGUUGGACUAGCUCAUUGCUGGGGACCUUGAAGCUCCAAUAUUCCAGUGUUUACCUGGAUAGGACAGAAUAUGAGCCUGGAACACACGGAAGACCUUUCCACCUGGAGAGUCAAAACUAGGACAUCAUUAUGGUUGCUGCUGCCACAGGCAACAGCCGUGGCCCCUCUGCUCACCCCUCCGGAAGUACUUGUGUGAGGCUACCAGUCAUGGCUGCCCCCAAGGGUCCCUAGGUUCCACUGAAGAGCCCACCUUCUGACUGCCAAAAGGGCCAAGGUGCUAAUGAGCAAGCUGGGCAAAGUGGGAAAAAUAUGUACCAAAAUGUAUCAGUGGUUGUAACAAUGCUGAGAUUAGGGAUAAGAAGUUUUUCCCUUUUCCUUAUUGUCUAAAUUUUCAGGAAAGCGUUUAUAUUAAUUGUUCUAAAAAUUGCUUUGUUACGGAAAUUCCCUGGUGUCCAGUGGUUAGGACUCAGUGCUUUCACUGCCUGGGCCCGGGUUAAACCCCUGUGGGAACUAAGAUCCCACCAGCUGUGUGGCACAGCCAAAAUAAAUAAAUAAAUAAAUAAAUAAAAUUGCUUUGUUAAAAGUAAGUUUGCCAGAAGCAAACUGAUCUUGAUCUACAAGUGGCAAGGUGAUUGGGGCCUUCACUGGACUGAGAUUUACUUUGGAAUUGUACUGUCCAAUAUGCUACCCACUAGUUAAGCAUAGUUAUUUAGAAAUAAAAUUAAUUGGAAUUAAAACAAAUUUAAAAUUCAGUUUAGUUGCACCAGCCAUGUUUCAAGUGCCUAGCAGCCACUUGUGCCCGUGACUGCCAUUUUGGACAAAUAUAGAAUAUUUCCAUCAUUUCAAAAAGUUCUACUGGAUAGUGCUGGUUUGGAACAUCUAUGAAAAUACGGUUGAAAGUCAAAGUCAUAUCAAAUGUGUGCUAAUGGUACCCGGCCCUACUAAAGAGACUAAAUGUCUUGAAAGCAUCUACUUGGAAUCCUUUGCUUAUGGUAACCUGAUUGUUUCACUUUACUUCCUUAUAUUCAUUCAAAAAGGGGAACCUAACCUCUUUGGGGAACACUUUCUUACUGUUACUACUUGGUCAAAAGUCAUAAAACCCUAUUUCCUGAAAGCAUGAUCUUACCACUUUUAAGGUAGUAACUGACCAUGACUCAUGGAAAGAUCCAGCUUCCCCCAUCAUUCAAUAAGACAACUGGUCCAUCUGAGAGGUUUUUUAGGACAGAUGAGGUCUCCCAUCCCAGAUCUUGAAAUGUCUGAUAAGAUUUUAAAAGCUAGUUAUUGCCCUCACAGCUUACAGAAAACUAGGCCUUAGGGAGUUCCCCUGUGGCCUAAUGGUUAGGAUUCCAGGCUUUCAUUGCUGUGGCCCAGGUUCAAUCCCUGGUCUGAGAACUCAGUUCCCGUGGGCCAAGGGGCACAGUGACAUUUGACUAUUACCUUAACACUUCAAGAAAAUAAAAAUAUUGUCCUUAUAAGGAGAUGGGGAGGCCCCAGAAAUGCUCCUCUUUUCCCUCUGACUCCUC